rnacentral:rRNA from 1 species
UGGGGAAUUUUGCGCAAUGGGCGAAAGCCUGACGCAGCAACGCCGCGUGGAGGAUGAAGGUGCUCUGCAUUGUAAACUCCUGUCGGCCGGGAAGAAUCGGCGGGGUGCUAAUCAGCCCCGUCUUGACUGUACCGGGAAAGGAAGCCCCGGCUAACUCCGUGCCAGCAGCCGCGGUAAUACGGAGGGGGCAAGCGUUACUCGGAAUUAUUGGGCGUAAAGGGCGCGUAGGCGGUCUCGUGCGUCAGGGGUGAAAUCCCCGGGCUUAACCCGGGACGUGCCUUUGAUACGGCGAGACUUGAGUCCGGGAGAGGGGAGCAGAAUUCCCAGUGUAGCGGUGAAAUGCGUAGAUAUUGGGAGGAAUACCAGUGGCGAAGGCGGCUCCCUGGACCGGUACUGACGCUGAGGCGCGAAAGCGUGGGUAGCAAACAG